rnacentral:misc_RNA from 1 species
GCAAACUUGGUCAUUUAGAGGAAGUAAAAGUCGUAACAAGGUUUCCGUAGGUGAACCUGCGGAAGGAUCAUUACAGUGCCGCCGGGACUUGCCCCCUAAACCAGGGCGAGCUCCCGCAACUGGCCACCCGUGUCUACCGAACCUCGUUGCUUUGGCGUGCCCGCGAACCCUUCACCGGGGGAGCCGCCUUGGGGCUUCUGCCUCGGGCCAGCGCCGCCAGAGGACCACAAUUGAACUCUUUGCUGAUGAGUGACUGUCUGAGUGAUUGAUUUAAUCAUUAAAACUUUCAACAACGGAUCUCUUGGUUCCAGCAUCGAUGAAGAACGCAGC